rnacentral:rRNA from 1 species
AUUGAACGCUGGCGGAAUGCUUUACACAUGCAAGUCGAACGGCAGCACGGACUUCGGUCUGGUGGCGAGUGGCGAACGGGUGAGUAAUGUGUCGGAACGUGCCCAGUCGUGGGGGAUAACGUAGUGAAAAUUACGCUAAUACCGCAUACGAUCUAUGGAUGAAAGCGGGGGAUCGCAAGACCUCGCGCGAUUGGAGGGGCCGAUAUCAGAUUAGGUAGUUGGUGGGGUAAAGGCCCACCAAGCCAACGAUCUGUAGCUGGUCUGAGAGGACGACCAGCCACACUGGAACUGAGACACGGUCCAGACUCCUACGGGAGGCAGCAGUGGGUAAUUUUGGACAAUGGGCGAAAGCCUGAUCCAGCCAUUCCGCGUGCAGGAUGAAGGCCCUCGGGUUGUAAACUGCUUUUGUACAGAACGAAAAGGUUUCUACUAAUACUAGGAGCUCAUGACGGUACUGUAAGAAUAAGCACCGGCUAACUACGUGCCAGCCGCCGCGGUAA